CUUUAACUAGUAACUGAUUGGAUCAUGUUUUCUGGAUUAAAAAAAAUAAGCACUUGGUAAUAGAGUAUAUGACAUUUUAAAACUCUGUAGCAUCAAACUGACUGUCAGAACCCUUCCUGUAACUCCUUAUGAUACUUUACAUACUUUACAUAAAUACAUAAGUUUCAGCUUCAGCAAACGUGUAACAUUUUCUGUAAUUAAAGUUCUCAACCUCCCGUCAUAAAACAUAAGAUGUCAGUUAUGAUGUCAGAAAGCACAUUUUUCAGUAUUUAGUGGUGUAAUAGUUGUCUGUGAAGAACUUUGUGAGGUAGGCUAAUGUUAGUCUGCAUGAUUAAAUUAGAGAUCUAAAUAUAACCUGAGAAACAAACUAAACCAAACCAAAGCAUUUAAUAGAACAUGGUGUUUACUGAUGUGGCUAAAAAAGACUCGCUCAAAAAAAAAAAAAAAGAAGCCAGAGAGUUAAAGGUUAUCAGGACACAUUUGGUACAACAAACAUCUGUGGCAUCUCAACAUUAACGGGAAUACAAAUGAAUCCUAACAUUUUUAAAGAAUUCUGUGACCACAAAAUUAACAAAUAACAGGAGAAACAUGACAAGGUUUGUAACUGACAGAGAAGUCUGUUAAUAUUUCAUGUUUAUUUUAUUAUUUUGUUAAAGACCUUUAAUUUGAACUGCUUUGUAAAGAACUGUUUAGUGGAGACUUUUAUUAUGAAAAGCACAGUGUAAGCCAGGAAGUUGUUGUCUACACCGCAUGGCAAGUUGAAGCUGUAUUCCACGUUUCUAAAGAGCAUUUAAGUUCAUUUACUCAUCUGAAGUUACAGAAAAUAUUACCAGAUGUAAGAUUAAGUUCUCCUUUGGUAAUAAGCAGCCAAUGAAUUCUCACGGCAUCUUGAAUUGGAUGGUUAUCCUCAUGGUGAACCAGUCAAUAAAUCGCCUGUCAUCAGAGAAUCCUUGUGCUCGUGAAAUUACUGGGGGGAGCUACAAGGUUUAUAAAUCCAACAGCGGGACGGCUCA
ensembl:lncRNA